GCGAUGGAUAACAGGUUGAUAUUCCUGUACCACCUAUAAUCGUUUUAAUCGAUGGGGGGACGCAGUAGGAUAGGCGAAGCGUGCGAUUGGAUUGCACGUCUAAGCAGUAAGGCUGAGUAUUAGGCAAAUCCGGUACUCGUUAAGGCUGAGCUGUGAUGGGGAGAAGACAUUGUGUCUUCGAGUCGUUGAUUUCACACUGCCGAGAAAAGCCUCUAGAUAGAAAAUAGGUGCCCGUACCGCAAACCGACACAGGUAGUCAAGAUGAGAAUUCUAAGGUGAGCGAGCGAACUCUCGUUAAGGAACUCGGCAAAAUGACCCCGUAACUUCGGGAGAAGGGGUGCUCUUUAGGGUUAACGCCCAGAAGAGCCGCAGUGAAUAGGCCCAAGCGACUGUUUAUCAAAAACACAGGUCUCUGCUAAACCGUAAGGUGAUGUAUAGGGGCUGACGCCUGCCCGGUGCUGGAAGGUUAAGAGGAGUGGUUAGCUUCUGCGAAGCUACGAAUCGAAGCCCCAGUAAACGGCGGCCGUAACUAUAACGGUCCUAAGGUAGCGAAAUUCCUUGUCGGGUAAGUUCCGACCCGCACGAAAGGCGUAACGAUUUGGGCACUGUCUCAACGAGAGACUCGGUGAAAUCAUAGUACCUGUGAAGAUGCAGGUUACCCGCGACAGGACGGAAAGACCCCGUGGAGCUUUACUGUAGCCUGAUAUUGAAAUUCGGCACAGCUUGUACAGGAUAGGUAGGAGCCUUUGAAACGUGAGCGCUAGCUUACGUGGAGGCGCUGGUGGGAUACUACCCUAGCUGUGUUGGCUUUCUAACCCGCACCACUUAUCGUGGUGGGAGACAGUGUCAGGCGGGCAGUUUGACUGGGGCGGUCGCCUCCUAAAAGGUAACGGAGGCGCUCAAAGGUUCCCUCAGAAUGGUUGGAAAUCAUUCAUAGAGUGUAAAGGCAUAAGGGAGCUUGACUGCGAGACCUACAAGUCGAGCAGGGUCGAAAGACGGACUUAGUGAUCCGGUGGUUCCGCAUGGAAGGGCCAUCGCUCAACGGAUAAAAGCUACCCCGGGGAUAACAGGCUUAUCUCCCCCAAGAGUUCACAUCGACGGGGAGGUUUGGCACCUCGAUGUCGGCUCAUCGCAUCCUGGGGCUGUAGUCGGUCCCAAGGGUUGGGCUGUUCGCCCAUUAAAGCGGUACGCGAGCUGGGUUCAGAACGUCGUGAGACAGUUCGGUCCCUAUCCGUCGUGGGCGUAGGAAAUUUGAGAGGAGCUGUCCUUAGUACGAGAGGACCGGGAUGGACAUACCUCUGGUGUACCAGUUGUCGUGCCAACGGCAUAGCUGGGUAGCUAUGUGUGGACGGGAUAAGUGCUGAAAGCAUCUAAGCAUGAAGCCCCCCUCAAGAUGAGAUUUCCCAACUUCGGUUAUAAGAUCCCUCAAAGAUGAUGAGGUUAAUAGGUU
rnacentral:rRNA from 1 species